AACCCAGCAACCAGCAGAUUUCAACACACUGAUUUCCUCAUUUUCCUUCCCAGAAUGUGACUGCAGGCCCCUGAAGUGGGAACAGGAAGGGGCUGUGGAUGAACAGGCAGAGGUAGCGGCAGGGACAGCUCUCAACUUGACCUGAAAGCCACGGUCCUUCCUUCGGCAUCCGUCACCCCUUGGCCCUCUCUGGCACACAACAGCCUAAAAGAGCUUUGAAAACUGAGGAAACUGAGGCGGGAGACAGAACCAAUUUGCUGAGCAUCUCAAGGGAAAUAUGUUCCUGAAUGGACAAUCAGACUGGGGACAGCUGUGCCCACUACCUCUUGCUAGCCCUGUGCAGACUGGCUAGCAGGCCUCCAAAUGAGCGGAUGUAUCCUUGACCUCCAGGAGCAUCUUGGGGGCCAGUUGCCACACUUUGCCCUGGAGCAAGGAAGAAGAGGAAAGAGGAGGCCUGCAAUGAAGAAUGCGAAGACCCCCAGAAGACUGGCAGCAUUUGCAUGUGAGAUCCCAGGCCAGCUCUGGGGGCAAACUGACACAGCACUGGGGCAGAGGGGAAUGGUUGGCCGCCAAACCACGUGUGUGGCAGCUGCACUGCUGAGUCAUGUUCCUGCAUGAGGCCUGCUGGAAACAGAAGCCAGCGGCAGCAACCUCAAACUGCCUGGUGAGUGCUGACUCUGCCAAUUUCCCGGCCUUCCAGAGCCCCUGGGACAGCCCAUCUCCUACUCUAGGACACAACUAUUGUGCUUCCUUGCACACCAUACUUACUCCCCUUCUUUGAGUGACAGCACCCCAGUUUUCCUGGGAGACACUCUUCCCUCUCAGCCCAUGUGGUUAAGAUGAGUCCAUAUCUCUAAUUCCUCUUUGCCCAGGACAAUCAUGUGACCAAGGUAUUGCCAAUCAGAGCAGCCUCUUAUGCUUAAGAUUAACCCCACCAUGCGAAUGCAACUGAAUUACACAAAUGAGACUCAGUUCCAAGACUUUUGUGAGAAAUGUUAGGAAAGAAACCCUCUGGUUUUCUGCAGAGAAUGAUAACUGUGUAGAUAUGCCAGCCAGGAGGAGCUGGGGCCGAUGUGUGCACGAAGACUACCUGACCACGGGGCUGCCCACAGUAAGGCGGGGUGAAGAGGUAAAGAAGCCGGAGAUCUGUUCUUCCUGCAUGUGCCUGGGAGCUUCUCCUCUGCAGUAGCUUUUACUUCACUUAAGCAUGCUUAAAGCUGGGCUCCUGUCACUUGUGUACACAGGACUGUCUAGCAAUACUUGGAUAAUAGUGUUCUUUUUAUUUUCCCGUUUUGUGCUGUAGGGGUUUUUGUUUUGUUUUGCUUUGUUUGUUUUUUAGACAGAGUCUUGCUAUGUAGUUCACACUGGCCUCAAACCCACAGUGAUCCUCCUGCCUCAGCCUUCCAAGUGCUGGGAUUACAGGUGUGAACCACCACACCUGGCCCUGUGCCCUCAUUUAAGUCUCACUAUCCUGGACAUUUCCUACCACGAAUGAUGGUAGCAGACACCCAAUCAUAAUUACACAGAAUAACAAUUGUAGUUGACCAGCUACUACUUGAGUGUGCUUUGUGUUUAUUUCAGUGACCUUACAAGUUGAUGUGCCCAUUCUUACUCAUGAAGACUGAGUGUCAAGGACUCAGGGACCCAUGUGUGUUGAGCAGCAGAGCUAAGCCUCCCAUUCACACUGCCUGACUCCAAAGCCCAAGAUCUUCAACCCACUGCCUUCCCCAGCUCCUUCACUCUAGGAAAUGCCGUGGCUAAGUCUGGAUAAUGUUUUUCCCACUAAGAUGGCAGAGUUGAGAUGGGAACACUUUGGCUGCUUAAAAGCACAGAGAUAUGAGCAUAGCCAGGUUCUGUCAAAUAUUCUGAACUCCAUAGGUGCAUUUGAGAGGGACUAGUGAUAAUUUAGGCUCAUUGCUUUUCUUCUGUCCUCACCACCUCCCACUUGCAGUCUCCAUCCACAUCUUUAAUGCUGCUGCUCUCUCUCGGUUCAAUGUGGACCACAUGCCCCCCCGACUGCCAGGAUGCCAUAGGAUCAGGUAACAGCCAAGGAAGGCUAGGGAACUUUGGAGCAACUCUUGUUUCUUGAGGGUGCAGAAGGAGGCAUAGGAGAAGUCGUACUGAGGAGCUAACAUGGGACCUGGGCUUCAAGGAUGGGGCAGCUUUACUAGGAUGGGACAAUUGGGAACAGCAUCUUCAGCAGAGGCAAACAGCAUGUGCAAAGAUACAGAGGACACUUAGCAUGUUUGGUGAAGGCACUAUGGACCAGUAGCAAUCCAAGAUGGAAGGGGAGAAGUAAGGGCCCUUAUUUUGAGCAUAAAAGAAAAUUAAGAAGCAGAAAACAAUCACCACUAGCUUGGAUCACUUCAAACUUUUCUAGUCAUCCUAGGGGGGAAAGACCCUAGGAAGAGGAGGGGUUCAUUUUGAGCAAGACACAAAAAAGCUUAGUAGUUGAGUGUGAAACAGAAACACUGUGGAAGCCUGGAAUUCCAGCAAGGUUUGAAAGGGGCUGGGAAGGAGGGGAGCAAGCCGAGGGAGGGAGAGGUCAGCAGCGAACUCAGUGAAGACACCGCGGGCACCCUUGCGUGGGACUUGGGGACUCAGAGAUUCACGAAGAGAAUCUCCUGCCCUAUAGACUUACAGGCUGCUGGACAGACAAAGGGACAAAGACAGCAGAGUGGGUUAAGUGCUGCAACGCAGAAGGCCCAGUGGUUGUGGAAGCACCAAAAUCACUUGCCCCACAUCAGGACUUUCGUGAAGACUUCCUAGAGGAAAGGCUAUUGAAAUUGGGCCUUAAUAGAUGAAAAAGAGUUUGCUGUUUAGAGAGUGAGGAUCUCUCAUAAUUCCCUGCAUCCUUGCUUUCAUUAAGACUGAUGAUCAGGGUGGGAUGUCUCACACCUGUAAUCCCAACACUCAGGAGACUGAGGCAGGAGGAUUGCUGUGAGUUACAGGCCAGCCUGGGCUAUACACAGACAAACAAAACAAAACAAAACAAAACAAAGCAAAACAAAAAACCCAAAA